rfam:Aedes albopictus isolate Foshan contig139121, whole genome shotgun sequence.
UGUUCUGUGGCUCAGUUGGUUAAAGCGCCGGUCUAGAGAAUACGGAAUUUUGGGUUCGAAUCCCACCAGAACGC